ensembl:lncRNA
GUUCUGAGCAGAACUGGGAGAUUUCAUUACUGGUUUGUUUCAGUACGUGUAGCAAGUAUCCAGGGCUCCACUGACAGUUCCUAAUCUAUAUGAGGGCUGCACUGAAAGUAAUGACUGUCUACUUUAUUAUGUUGGCCAACAAUGUCAGAGGUAGAUGCUGGUAGUAAGGCAGUAGGGGUUGAGCACCUCCCCUACAAGGACAGGCUGAGGGAGCUGGGCUUAUUCAGCCUGGAGAAGAGAAGGCUGCGGGGUGACCUCAUUGCAGCCUUUCAGUAGGCUAUAAACAAGAAGGGAGUAAACUCUUUGAAAGGGUAUAUAACAGCAGGACAAGGGGGAACAUUUUUAAGUUGAAAGAGGGAAGAUUUAGGUUGAAUGUUAGGGGGAAGUUCUUUACUAGGAGAGUGGUGAGGUGCUGGAACGGACUGCCCAGAGAGGUUGUGGAUGCCCCAUCCCUGGAGGUGUUCAAGGCCAGGUUGGAUGGGGCCCUGGGCAACCUGGUCUAGUAAAUGAGGAGGUUGGUGGCCCUGCCUGGCAGGGGGUUGGAGAUUCAUGAUCCUUGAGGUCCCUUCCAACCCAGGCCAUUCUAUGAUUCUGUGAUUCUGUGUGAACCUUCCCACCAAUAUUCCAUUAGAUGUUGUUGCUGUGUGACAGAUGGCAGCAGAGGGGCAGUCUGACAGAAUGGUGUCUGACAUGGAAGUGCAUAUGAAACAAAGACAAUCUUACUGACAACCAAGACAUUGCUCCCACCUUUGUGCUGCAUGGAAACAUUCUUCCUUGGAUGACUGGGGAUACAGAACGCACUUCUUUUCUACUAUCACUAUUAUCUCUUCACCUCUUAAUUUCCUCGCGCUGGACAUGCUGGUUAUUUGUUUUUUGAUCAAUGUCUUCUUCAGAAUAUAGCUGCCAAACUGUGGGGAAGUUCAUGCGUCUCAGUCUUGGGCAAGUUAAGAAUGUUUAUACUCCUGAAUUCAGUCACUGAUACCUCCUUGGCUGUUUUCUUCUGUGUCUGAGUAACACAUUUCAAAGGAAAGAUGUAUGAGGAAGAUGGAUGAGAGACAGCUAAGUCCCUCAGUUUGUUCAGCCCAGAGCAGAGGAGGCUGAAGGGGAACCCUCAUGGUGGCUUAUGGCUCCUCACAAAUGGAGCAGAGCAGUACUCUGCUCUCUGUGACAGCAACAGGACUGGAGGGAAUGGCAUGGAACUGUGUUGGGGGGGGGGGUGAGGGAAAGGUUCUUCACCAGAGGGCAGUGGGCACGGAACAGGCUGCCCAGGGCAGUGGGCACAGCCCUGAGCUGAUGGGAGUUCAAUGAGUGUCUGGAGAAUGCUAUCAGAUAUAUGAUCUGAUUUUUGGGUGGUCCCAGAAAUUGAUUUGGACUCGAUGAUCCUUAUGGGUCCCUUCCAGCUCCAAAU